rnacentral:rRNA from 1 species
GAUGAACGCUGGCGGCGUGCCUAAUACAUGCAAGUCGAGCGAACGGACGAGAAGCUUGCUUCUCUGAUGUUAGCGGCGGACGGGUGAGUAACACGUGGAUAACCUACCUAUAAGACUGGGAUAACUUCGGGAAACCGGAGCUAAUACCGGAUAAUAUUUUGAACCGCAUGGUUCAAAGUGAAAGACGGUCUUGCUGUCACUUAUAGAUGGAUCCGCGCUGCAUUAGCUAGUUGGUAAGGUAACGGCUUACCAAGGCAACGAUGCAUAGCCGACCUGAGAGGGUGAUCGGCCACACUGGAACUGAGACACGGUCCAGACUCCUACGGGAGGCAGCAGUAGGGAAUCUUCCGCAAUGGGCGAAAGCCUGACGGAGCAACGCCGCGUGAGUGAUGAAGGUCUUCGGAUCGUAAAACUCUGUUAUUAGGGAAGAACAUAUGUGUAAGUAACUGUGCACAUCUUGACGGUACCUAAUCAGAAAGCCACGGCUAACUACGUG